UGUGGGUUUUUUUUCCAUGGCAUGUGUUGCGCCGUAAAAUCUAUUAAUUUCGCCAAAAUCCUUCGCAGUUAUUUAAUAGUUUGCUGUUCCUGGGAGUACUUUAUUCGUGUUAUAGCGCUCUUUUCUGGUUGGCAGCGGAUGUAUCGCGUCAUUUCCGGUUUCUCGUCAGUCGGCGUUGAGUUUGACAGAGAGAGACGUUGAGCUCGUCUGCGGGACAAAUAAACCUGAGUUCAACAAGAUACGCCGGUGUCCAGUGUCUACUGUGCACCAGAACAUGGCACGGUUCACCUGGAUCAGGUGGUAGAGUGGAUUGUCCACUAAUCGUAGGGUUGGCGGUUCAAUUCCCGGCCCACGUGACUCCACAUGCUGAAGUCCUUGGGCAAGACACUGAACCCCAAGUUGCUCCUGAUGGCAAGUUAUGCAUGGCAGCCUUGCAUGGCAGCUCUGCUACCAUAGGUGUGUGAAUGGGUGAAUAAGACACAGUGUAAAGCGCUAUAUAAGUUUACAGGUUACAGGUUCAUGAGCAAUUCUUGACCCAACUUGUCAAUUCUUGACCUAACUUGUCCUCAUGCGGGUAUAGAUAGUAUUUAAUCGUUACUAAUUUGACGAAAUCAAGAAUCCAUAUUAUUGGAUUAUUUGGGUGGAUGAUGGUGGUAGCUACUUUCUCGGAAAUUAGCCGGCUAGUGCUCUGUCUAUCGGUUAUAACA
ensembl:lncRNA